AUGUCGAAACAUAAAGGCGUCAAUGCGCGUUGAUUGUGGCUACCAUGGAAUUAGUCCGUUGGAUUGCUUGAGAAAGGGAUGUUGUUAUGGCGAAUUAAAGGUGGCUGGCCCGUGGUGUUAUCAUCAAAAAGCAAACUGUCCCAUGAUUGAAGCAAACAAACGUGAAGAUUGUGGUUACCCUGGGAUAAGCAAAUCAGAUUGCGUCAAAAAAGGAUGCUGUUACAACGCAAUCAAGGAAAAGGGACCGUGGUGUUAUUACAGGCAAG